AGGAGUUUUUCGGAGGUAUUUUUCCAAUUUGGGGCGAAUUUGCCCCUCAAUUGCAAACAGUACCCACUUGAGGGGCUGGGUUUUUCGUCUUUUCGAUUUGGUUGGGAAUGGGUGGAUAUCAUUAGUCCACGUACCCCCUCUCACCCCUCGCCCCCCUCCCCUCCUCUCUUUGGUCUGUUGGGUACAGGUGGAGGCAUCUGUGGAGAGAGAGAGAGAGAGAGAGAGAGAGGAGUUCUUGGGCGAUUUUCACUUUCUCCACAGGUGACGUUAUUCAAGCCCAAAUCGUAGGUACUGGGCCCCCACCCACCGUGCGCCGGCGGAAGUAGACAUUUGUGGAAGGUUCGUGCACCCACCCACCGUGGGCCGGCGGAAGUAGACACUGGUGGAAGGUUCAUGCACGUUCCCAUCUCUCUGUCUUCUAUUUUCCAACCCAAAAGAAUUGAUUGUUCAGGUGCGGUGGUGUGAUUUCCGGCACCGACCCAUCCCUCAGAUUGCCAAUUAAUCUGCUUCACCAUCGUUAUCGACUGAUACAGGUCAAUAUCAAACCCGUCAAUUCGUGUGCCUUGCGUUGAACUUGUGGUUGGUUGGGUAGGAUUUUGUUUGGCCAUGUGGGUCCGUGCUGUGGGUUUUGGGGUUUUGGGGGAAAAUAGUUUCGCUGCUUUUGCUGGCCCGUUGUGUUCUGUGGUUUUGGCGAUUUGGGUUUUGUGGGUUUUUCUGCUGCGGUUAGAAGGAAAAUACUUUCGCGUCUUUUGCUUGUUGGGCUUCGUUUGUUUUUUUUCUUUUGGUGGCUAUGGAAAACUUGGAGAUCGUUGUUUGUUUCUUCGUGUGUAAAGUAUUCCGUGUCCCCAAUUGAAAAAAUCAUUUCACGUUUUGGGAGUUUGUAUUACCUGGUUUCUUGUUCUUUGUCCUCUGUGAUGGUGUUCGUCUUUGCAGGAUGGUGCUGCAUGUGCCGUUCCUGCGUUGGGAUAGUGUUGGGAAUCCAUGUGCUUCGUCUUGUCUAAAAAAUAGAAUAAUUAAAAUUGGUAUUAAUGGCACUCAAUAUUACUAGAAAAAAUCUGUAUUGUGUAGUUAUCAUAAAUUGUUGACAUUGCCUAUGACAGAAACAUUAGUGGAACCCUCAUCAUCUUACAGCACCCAAAUGAAGACAAAUGGAGUUGUUUCCAUCUAGCUGAACCACCAUAGCCACAGGUUACAUUGACGAAUUUUGCUGAUGUUUAUGGCCAUAGACAUUUUAUUGCCGGAGGGUUGUCGCCAAUUUUCCAAUGGCAUGGGUGGGAGUAUCUGGAUUAUGCUGAGGCAUGGAUCAAAAGCUUGGCCUGUAGAAGUUGCAAAUGAAUUGUUGCCUGAUGGUUGGAGUAAUUUCCGUAGGGUUCGCUAGGCAUGACGAACCACUGUAGUUGUCGCUUCCUCCCUCUCUCUCUCCGCCUCCAAAGCUACCGCAUUACCGUCUUCUUUGUUUGCUCCGGCGAAGGUAAGCCCAAUUAGCGCCUCCAGCAAAGAUUGUCAUCGUCAAAAAUCAUGAUAGUCACUGGUUCGGCGAUCUAUUGCAGCUGCUUGGCUUCGGAUUAGAUGAUAAAACUUCUCGGUGCUUAUAUUCUUGACUACCUUUCUUCAGGUAUCUUUUCUCUUCUUUUGCAUUUUUUCCAUAUUACAUUGUAGUUGGAGAUACAAUUUGGUUUGUGAUUCUAGAUUUUAUUUUCCUGGUGUGGAACAUGUAAUUUGGAAACACAUUGUUCGUCUAUCUUUUAUUGAUAGUUGUGUCAUCGUCGAAAAUAUUUGUUACGAGAAAUAUUGAAUGCCUCUUCAGCUUUUUUCCUUCUUCCUCAAA